rnacentral:rRNA from 1 species
UACGUAGGGGGCUAGCGUUGUCCGGAAUCAUUGGGCGUAAAGCGCGCGUAGGCGGCCAGAUAAGUCCGGUGUGAAAGCCCUCAGCUCAACUGAGGAAGUGCGCCCGAAACUGCAGAGCUUGAGUGCCGGAGAGGGUGGCGGAAUUCCCCAAGUAGAGGUGAAAUUCGUAAGAUAUGGGGAGGAACACCGGUGGCGAAGGCGGC